rnacentral:rRNA from 1 species
UACGAAGGGGGCUAGCGUUGCUCGGAAUCACUGGGCGUAAAGCGCACGUAGGCGGGUUGUUAAGUCGGGGGGUGAAAUCCUGGAGCUCAACUCCAGAACUGCCUUCGAUACUGGCGACCUUUGAGUCCGGGAGAGGUGAGUGGAACUCCGAGUGUAGAGGUGAAAUUCGUAGAUAUUCGGAAGAACACCAGUGGCGAAGGCGGCUCACUGGCCCGGUACUGACGCUGAGGUGCGGAAAGCAUGGGGAGCAAA